CAAGGUUGCAGGAGGAAAAGGGAAAAUGCGCUGUUUGCAUCACUUACCACCACUUCCAAAUUUAGAAGUGAGACGAGGUCUACGGAAAAAAAGGCAUCACCUACCACUAUGCACCUGUGCCCACUUCUGCCAACAGACCAUCACUGCUACAGUAAUGUGACUUUGCAAACUUGACAGUGACAGAGCUGAAUUACCAGGAUACUCAGCAGGAGAAUCUUCCGGGCCGUUGUGUUGCAUUUAGAAAGAUCUACUUUACAUGAGUGUAAGUUAUCUGCAGCACUCCUGGCAAGAGGCAUGCUGUGUUGUGGAAUUGAUGCACACUCCUGCUCACUAUAAGAACGACAGGAACCAGAUGCUAAGCCAGAAAGGACAUUGUUCCACCUGCAACAUCUGGCUCUUUGGCAAGCCAUACGGGAAGCUUCAAAGUUGCACCUCUGCCUCUCACAUGGUUCUUUGCCUGCAGCCAACCAAACCCAGCAGCUACUUCAGAACAACACAACCCAUGACAGCAGGGCAAGUUGUUAGUCCACAGAAAGUACUUAGUCCUUUCCAGAAAGUGGUCCAGGAUUACUCGCAUCAUCUAUUUACGUAAAAUGUACCACAUCAGGCCCAGUUUCUUGAUGGAGGGACAGACCUACUUCUUAGCACGCAAAUCAUAAGGAAGAGAGACUUGCAGAUACACCUAUGUCUAAUUACCAAACUCAAGGAAAAAUGUUGCAAUCUACAGGCAAAGCCAUGAAAUCAGUAGAGCUGAAAUCACCAGUGUAAUGGGCAGAAAUGCAUGACCCACUGCAUUCCAGCUGCACAAAAAUCUGCAGGCAGAAAGGGCCCCACAGCUUUUCUCUGAAUUUUAGAGAGAAGUUGUGUUUUAUUCACCCUUCAGAAAUUUGUUAACGUGAAAGUUUCCAGGUGUGGCUAUUACAUUCAUUGACAAAGAAAGUACAAGUAGGGUUAAGUCUAGUUGUCCUAGGUACUAUGUGAGCACUACCUAAGAGUGUGUCUCUUACCCAAAGGACCAGCAACAAAACUAGGGAAGACAUAAAGAAAAUGGCAAUGGAAAGAAAAGCAUAGAAGUGAAGUGACUUCAUAAGGUUAUAGAGCAGAGGUAAGAGAAGAAUGCAACUCUAUUCUUGAAUUCAGUACCCACUAGAAGAGGCUGUAGACGACUUUGAGUGUUCCCAGGUAGAACCUCAGUAUUUUUUACCCUUCUCUGGAUGCCAUCAAUUGGUCUAUUAUGAAAGAAAGAAACAACAUCAACAAAACAGUCCUUGGUCUGUACUGGUCAAUAUUGCUACAAUGCUUUACAACUAUAAGCAGUAACAGGUGAGCUUGAGCUCACUUACUGCUUUUAUUUUCUUCAUUUUGCACAUCUCUGUCACUGGCUGUAAAGGAAUACACAUACAUGCUGUGUGGGACAUGUUUCUCCUGCAGCCUAUACAAACCACUUUCUGCAGCCUGACACUGUGGCACCCAACACCAAAGGAGCACAUGUGGAGAACCACAGCCCUAGGCCAACGUGCUGUCUGGGCAUUCAGAAGAGACAAGAUAAAGCACUGCUCAAAUGGUGUCUUGCAGCAUGCCAAAAUGACUACAAAGUUACCAUUUUAAUACAGAAAUACUGCUGAAAAGCCCCACACAGCAGUGAUGUAGGGAUGCUGGUAGUUGAUUGUCCGUGUUAUGAUGCAGCCAAGGACACUUUGUGGAGAAAAUAGUCUGUCAGCAGUGUAUACCUGACUCAUAAAGAAAAGAAGAGCCAAAUGCAAUCUGAGAGCAAUACCUUUCAUGGGAAUCUACAUUUCUCUUUCUCUCAGCAGCAGAGGAUCCAACCAGAGGUCCAACUUCUCAGAUAGACAGGCAAGAGGAACUUGAUUCCACUUACUCUUCUAAGAAGAGUCAGUGUUUAUAUAAAUGAUUUUAUGAUUUUUCCUUCCAACUUUAUGGUGACAUUGUAGUUCUUCAACAGUCAGAAAGCCAGGGCCAGUUUUCAGGUUCAAGGACCACAAGAAAAUUGUCCCAUGUGAAGUGAACAGGAUCAGUGCAUGUGAUCAGCACCUCUGAAAAUCAGACUCCCUUGUGCCUAGCUAUCAAAAUGACUGACAGCAGGCAUGUUCCUAGACAUCGAUAUAUAAGUAUUCCUUCUUCAAAACCUUGUCAUUAAUUCCAAAUUACAUUUCUUCUAAACCUUGUCAAAAGUAUAUUAAAUUUCUACAUAGCCCAGUCCAGCUUCUCUACUGGAGAACAGUUUGAUUCACCCUAUUCAACGUGGUAAGGCUAUUCAAAUUCUCUAUUCAAUUAGGCCAGCUCUAUUUUUGAUCACACAGCACCAGAACAAACAUCACUUCUCAGGUGCAGUCUCAGGAUGUUCACAUUCUAAGUCUCCACUCAAACUGUUCUAUCUUGAUGAUUUUUCUUCUGUUUCCCAACCCAUUCCUAUUAUUUUAAAACAAUUUCUUUCUAUGUUGCCCUUUCAGACUUUCCUCAACCAUCUUCUGGAGCGCCUCAAAAUUGAGAGCCUGGUCUAGCAUUAAAUGGAGAGGUUGGUGGCCCUGCAUGUGGCAGGGGGGUUGGAAAUUCAUGAUCCUUGAGGUCCCUUCCAACUCUGGCCAUUCUGUGAUUCUGUGUGAUUUUGUGAGAGGUGAUUCCCUUUCUCUUCAGCUAUUAUCCUUAUGUAUACAUUUGCAAAAUCUACUGCAUCCUGUUUAUGAAGGCAGCUACACUGUUCUUUCAUAAACCACUGUUAAUAUUUCUUUUGUCUCUGUAGUCAUUCCCAGAAAAAAUGGGAUGACAUAAGGAGUACCAACAGUCGUAGGGAAAUUCUCCUUAUUUCUGUAGAGUGUGCUUACAUUGCAUGUGCACACCCACACAUACAUGUUUUUAUAACGAAUAUAGUCCAUUUAGUAGAUGGAGAUCAAAGGGGCUACAGUGCCCUGUCAUACAUCUACCAAAUACCCGGGAGAAAAACUUGGCAUUAACCUUCAAUAAAUGAAUGGAUUAUAUUGCAAAUAAUAAGAUGGCUAAAUAUAGGCACAGUCUAUGAAUUAAACAUUGCCUAACUUUGCAUGAUGCUAAUUUAUUUCGGCAUAUCUUGAUGAUUGUGCUGUGGCUGUGUCCUUCUGAAUGCUUUUUAAUUGUCCAACAAUUGUCCUUUACUAUCCAGCUGCUAGCUACAGUAAAAUGUACAGUAAUCCAUGUCAACACUACCUAUGCAACUGCACACACACAGUACAUGCUGGAUGUGGAUUACAGUUUGUAUGGUUCAGGUAGGCAGACAAACUUGAGCACCCAAGUGCUCAUUAGUUUCAAUAAAGAUAUAGUAAAGCUCAGUCUACUGGGCUGAUUGGAAAUACUGUCAGUAGAGUAGCUGUGUGUGUAUAACAGGUGCAAAAAUGAAGUUUUAUUUGCAUUUCCUAGCAAUAAAGCACUAAUAUUCCCUGUACAGAGAAAUGCAAUCGUAUUCUCAGAUGUAAAUCUCUAUACUUGGCCUUCUGUAAAAACUGAAAGCUUCAGCCAAGAUAAAAGCAACAUAUAUUGAAUGCACAACAGAAAAAGAGUAAGCCUCUGAAACGGAGGCAGUCUAACCCAGAAAAUAAACAGCAACAGGUAGAAAGCAGAUGUGGAGAAGGCACUUGCCAAAGUUCCAGGCAUACAGCUGUUCAGGUUUCUGCCUGAAAACAGAAUAGGGUGAACACACAACAAGCUCAGGACAGCUGUGGGAGAGCCCAAGCACCUUAUUACAGGCUACAGAAGGCCAAGCUAAGCCAGGAAGACGUGCUGAAUCACAUGGCAGAGACACCCUGACAAGGUACUUACUGCAUGGUAGGGAGUAUGGGGUGCACAUUCACCCACAUGACGCUUGGCUUUAUGAGCACCUUGGUGCAUACACAGCAUGAUGAGUUACAGCACAGCCAGCACUGUAUGGCAUGUGACUUUGUCCCCACGUGUUCAUUUCAAACACAGGUGCACUGUAAGGUUUGAGCCAGAAAGGCUGUUUGAUCCACAAACAUGCUUUUUACUCUUAUACUAUUCUUAGAAGGCCAUCUAUACCUCAGAACUAAUUCUUGAGUGGGACUUUCAAAUACUCCAAGGGUGCUUGUUCCUCUCUGUUCCCAGAGGCUUACCAACCUGUUCUU